rnacentral:misc_RNA from 1 species
UCCGUAGGUGAACCUGCGGAAGGAUCAUUAGUGAAUUGCUCUUUGAGCGUCUACACAUUCUUUACACCUGUAAACUGUUACUACUUCUCGUGAUUGCUUUUACUAACAUUGUGUAAUGAACGUCAUGUGAUUUUACAAAAAAUAACACUUUACAACGGAUCACUUGGCUCUCUCAUCUAUGAAAAACACACCGAAAUGCGAUAAGUAAAGUGUAUUGCGGAAUUCAGUGUAUCAUCGAAUCUUUUUUUACACCUUGCGCUCUCUGGUAUUCCGGAGAGCAUGCCUGUUUGAGUAUCAUUAAUAUCAACCAUUAGGGUUUCUUAAUGGCUUGGAUUUGGGCGUUGCCAGUUGCCUGGCUCGCCUUAAAAUAAUUAGCGUGUUUAACUUGUCAUAUCUGGCGUAAUAAUUUUCGCUGGUUUACGACUUUAUAAWUUCGCUUCUAAUCUUCCUCUGACAAUUCUUGAACUCUGGUCUCAAAUCAUUGUAUGAU